rnacentral:misc_RNA from 1 species
GAUGAAGAACUUAGCGAAAUGCGAUAAGUAGUGUGAAUUGCAGAAUUCAGUGAAUCAUCGAAUCUUUGAACGCACAUUGCGCCCCAUGGUAUUCCGUGGGGCAUGCCUGUUCGAGCGUCAUUUACCCCCUCAAGCUCCGCUUGGUGUUGGGCGUCUGUCCCGCUUCGCGCGCGGACUCGCCCCAAAGGUAUUGGCAGCGGUCGUGCCAGCUUCUCGCGCAGCACAUUGCGCUUCUCGAGGCACCGGUGGGCCCGCGUCCAUCAAGCUCACCCCCCCAGUUUGACCUCGGAUCAGGUAGGGAUACCCGCUGAACUUAAGCAUAUCAAUAAGCGGAGGA